AUCCAGUGUUUUUGAACUCAGCAUCUAUGGGAAAGGAACGAAAUUUUCAUGAGCAGAAGUACACAUACUACAAACUGCAGGCCAUCAAUGCAGGCACAAAGACAGAGAUAGAGAAUGCAAGACUAGGUGAUGCAUAAGAACCUAAAAAAAAGCUUGUCAAAUUUAACCAAUGAAAAUCUUAUAGAUUGAAACUGCUACCUUCAAGAAUUAAAGCAAAAAACAAGAAAAUUCAAAGACAGCCAAAAUCAAACCCACCUAGGAAUUUGCAAAUGUAGAGAACAUAAAAGAAAAAAUAUGUACAGAUGUUUUUGAACGAUCAUAGACAUUUGAACCAAAAUGAACAUAUAGCUCCAUGAAUUUUCUUUUUAAAAUUGCCAUAUUGGACAGAACUAAAUGAAGGAAAAAAAUAACACCACGAUGAAACCAAGUCUUUGCACCCAUAAUGCACAUGGAACAUGAAGGAAAUUGUGGCAGGGUCCACCCAGGAUAGGCUAAAACCAGGCCCAUGAUCCUUCAUGGCCUCCUUUGUAGAGGCUACAUGCUGCUGGAACAUGGGGAGAAAACUGCUCCCCUCACCUCUACCUAGACCAGGCCACGGGCCAAACCGGGCCAAACAGCCAAGGGCCACUAAGCAGCAGUUUCUAAACUGGAACCGGCCAUUGGCCAGGUCUACCUCUACUCAUGAAUCCACUAAAUGGCUCCAUGUUGGAGCUAUGAACUUGCAUGUGUGCUGGUUAUAAAAGGAAUGUUGGUGUGCGCAAGCGAGGAGUGCAUGCAGUUACAUGAGGGAGUUGAGGCCAUUAGUGAUUAUAACUUAUAUAUGCAGUAUAUGGCUUAAGUGCAAAGGAAAAAAAGUGAGAGCAUUGUGUGCAAUUGCCAGCGCAGGUGUUCAUGAGAGAGUAGCGAGCAAUUCUCUGGGUAAGUUUCCUUGGUCAUGAGCAAGUUUGCCAAGGCAGAAAACUGGUUGCAAGUGAAAGCAUUUUGGCGCUUCAAAGGCGGGUGUUCAAGUUGGUGCACAAAUUCUCUCAUCCUCCCUUCAAACCUUGGAGUGAAA
rnacentral:misc_RNA from 1 species